rnacentral:rRNA from 1 species
AUUGAACGCUGGCGGCAGGCCUAACACAUGCAAGUCGAACGAGUGGCGGACGGGUGAGUAAUGUCUGGGAAACUGCCCGAUGGAGGGGGAUAACUACUGGAAACGGUAGCUAAUACCGCAUACCAUCGGAUGUGCCCAGAUGGGAUUAGCUUGUAGGUGAGGUAACGGCUCACCUAGGCGACGAUCCCUAGCUGGUCUGAGAGGAUGACCAGCCGGACUGGGACGGAGACACGGGCCAGACUGCUACGGAAGGCAGCAGUGGUGCAUAGGGCGGAAGGGGCGGAGGACUUAGGAAGCCGGGCCGCGGGUAUGAAGAAGGCAUUCGGGUUGUAAAGUAAUGUCAGCGGGGAGGCGUUACCCACAGAAGAAGCAACGGCUAACUCCGUGCCAGCAGCCGCGGUAAUUC